CCUACGGUCGGCAGCAGUGGGGAAUAUUGGACAAUGGGGGGAACCCUGAUCCAGCGACGCCGCGUGAGUGAAGAAGUAUUUCGGUAUGUAAAGCUCUAUCAGCAGGGAAGAAAGAAAUGACGGUACCUGACUAAGAAGCCCCGGCUAACUACGUGCCAGCAGCCGCGGUAAUACGUAGGGGGCAAGCGUUAUCCGGAUUUACUGGGUGUAAAGGGAGCGUAGACGGCGAUGCAAGUCUGAAGUGAAAGGCGGGGGCCCAACCUCCGGACUGCUUUGGAAACUGUAUGGCUGGAGUGCAGGAGAGGUAAGUGGAAUUCCUAGUGUAGCGGUGAAAUGCGUAGAUAUUAGGAGGAACACCAGUGGCGAAGGCGGCUUACUGGACUGUAACUGACGUUGAGGCUCGAAAGCGUGGGGAGCAAACAGGAUUAGAUACCCUAGUAGUC
rnacentral:rRNA from 1 species